rnacentral:lncRNA from 1 species
GGGAAACAGCACCAGGGAGGUUCCCCUGACCUGAGAGUGUUUCUAACAAUCUCCUUGCUUCUGAUUUGAUUCUCCUCUGGCUUGAUUCCCUGUCAAGGUAAGCCCCCCAUUUUUUCUCCAAGCCACUGGGAGGUUUGCUGGGUCAUCACGCUCAGCAAGUUUUCCUUGACUGAGGACACUCAGACUUGGAAAUUCUUGCAAUUUUGGGCAAAAUUCCUAGGGAACUUUUGCCACCUUUUCACUUUCUUUGGGAUGCCAGAGGAGACAAAGUGCUAUAGGAUGGCUUUUGGCAAAAUUCAAUGCCUUUCAUGUCAUUUUUGUCUGUGUCUGCAUCUUUGUGCAUAAUGUCUGUGUCAUGUUUGCUCUGUGAACCAGAUUCUGUUACCUGGAAAGAUUUAAAAUGUAGCCAGGAAGAAAAAAACUUCUAUGCCAUAGUUAGAAUGUUGGGAAAAUUAUGACUCCCACCUUAAAAAGGGAAAAAGCCUAACUUUUUUUUUCCUAUGGACCUCAGCUCUGGCCAAGCUAGGGGCUGCAGAAAUAAAUUUAGCUAAUUAAAAUUAAGAAGUCUGGCAAUUAAUCAUUUUAAGAUUGCAAGAAAAAUUCCUGAAACAUUGAGGAUAAUUCCAGGAAUUUACCCCGUUCUAAAAGAAAAAAAAGAAAAAACAAACUAGGUAAAUAGCAACUUUUUUCUAACUCUUCCUUGAUUCCCAUCUUGCGUGGAGUCCUCUUCUUCUCCUUUGGGUAAGCACCCCAGAAAGGUAUUAAGGGACUCUCCACUCCAUUCCCCGGAGUCCUGAGUCUAUCUCAUUUGUGGGGAUUGCUAUCAAGAUCAAUAUAGCCCAAGUCCCUCUAUUUGCUAACUCUCUUCAUCACAGAUCAGAUUAAGAGAAUGCGAAAGAACUAUAGGAAAACUCAAAUUCUGUCCCACCUGUAGAAACAGGGGUAGCAGCAACAGCUGUGUAGACCCUAAACAAGCCUUGCCCAAACUCCUCCCCAGACCAGCUUGGGGGAAUGGGAUGGAGUGGAGGUCAGGCUAAGUCCUGGCACUUGAAACCACCAUCAAAGGGAGAUCUUGGUACCAGCCACCAUAGCCUUCAGCAGGAGGCUGCACAGCUCUCUGUGCAGCAACUGCCUGGGAAGGAUCUGGGCACCUCUGGUAUCACCCAGCAUGACAGUGUGAGGCGAGAAAGCCAGUCAACCUCUGCACUUGAGCGCUCUGAAUGUCCACUGUCCAGACAACGAUGCAUACGCCACUUCUCUUGGACGGACGCUUCCGACGGACUAAAUCUCUAAACUCCUUCGCAGCUUGAAAACUGCCACAUCUAAGAUCAUCAGUGGAGAAGCAGGCAGAGGAAGGCGCGGUUCUCCCGCGGCAACCAGGGCCAUGGCCCGCCUCUCCAUCUGCGUCUGGCCGCUGGACCGAGACGGUGCUGGAGGUCGGCAGCGGGUGACCCCGCGCGGCCCCGCAGUCACCCACAGGUCGCGGCACGCCCUCCCCUUCGCGGACAAAUGCAGGGCCCCGCCCUCCCCCACGCCCGCCGAGGGCGUGGCUCCCGGCGGCUUCUGAGCCUCGUUUUACAGAGUCGCAGUUUUAAGGCUGGAAGAGGCCUCGGGACCCAACCCAGCCCCAUAGCACUCAGAUACCUAAAGCGUUAACAUCUGACAAGUCAACCCGGGGAGGCGGGAUCCUCAGCGGGGAGAGGGAGAGCCCGAGGGAUUUACGACUUGUCGGAAACGGAGACAGCCAAUCCCCGCGUAAAGUCCGAACGGGGAGGGAAGAGGCACAUGACGAGUUCCUCCAUACGCCGGGCUCCGGGCUGAGCGCUUUACAGAUGUCUUCCCUUCCCCCCACCUUCUCUACGACGCGGGGAAGGGGACCGCGCCGCGAGGGCGGAGGGGAGAAAGGCUUCCCCUGGGUCCCAGAGAAGCCGGAUCUGGGAUCAACCAAACGAAGCGGCGGUCGCGCACCGGGAGACACGGGAUCUCCCCCCCCCCCCCCCCCCCCCCCCCCCCCCCCCCCCCCCCCGGACCAGGCCCACCGGAAGAACACGCCCUUUCCCCUCCAGCACCCCCGUUUAACCACCCAUUCCGGGCUGGGAGAGGGAAACCUUCGCAGAAGCGGAAACGGAAGUCGAUCCUCACCUCCUCCCUCCGUGGGGGCGGGAGCCGCCUCGCGAGGACUUGGCUCCUUCUGCGCCUGCUCCGACGUGGGGGUGGGGCGGGAGUAGCGGUCGCGUGCGCGUGCGCGUGCGCGGCACUUGUUGAAGCUGCUGCUCCCGGGCCGGCGCGCGCAAAGCAGGGAGACUCCGUGAGGGGGAGAGAGCGGCGUCCCGGAAGCGCUUUCUUUCUCUGAGUUCCCUUAUUUGUUCCCCUGCUGACCGCCGGUGUCUUACCUUCAUUUCAGUUACAUUCCCGUAUAAGUACCUACUGUGUGCACGAUACCGGUAGCCGCCUGCUCUCAGGGAGCGCGUCAUGUCUCGGAGGAGAGCGCGUGCGAGCCAUCUACAGAACAAGGAGGGAGUAAUUGUGCUGCCUCCGUGCUGGCGGCAAACCGCCUCCCCCACCCUUCCCGGCCCCGAGGGCUUCUCUCCGCCUCCUGGUGAUCUUCUGCCUCAGGCUAAUAAUAGAACAAAGAACACCCCAGAAUAAAGGACCUCUCCAAUUUGGAAGCAAGAUAACGAACUGUUCGGUUCAAGCAGGAGACGGGGAUGAAGAGAGGGGCGUGCCUUAGCAUUCUCCGGGGCAGUGGUUCUCAAAGUGUGCUCUAGAGGAUCUCUGAAACCCUUUUAGAGGGUCUACAAAUCCAAAAAUAGUCUUUAUUUCCAGUAUGGUAAAUGUCUAUAAAUAUAACGCAGAUAAACAAAAACGCUUUCUCGAUAAUUUUUAAUAGGAUAAAAGAUACUGAAAACAAAAGUUUGAGAAGCACCGCGCUUGACCAUCUUCUUCCCCCCCCCCCCCCCCCAACCUGUCAGAACCGAAUCAUGGCCCUUCCUAGAAUUUCCACUCACCGGUGCUCUGCCCCUCCCCCUCCCCCCUUGCCUUUGUUUCUCUGAUCCCUGGACCCCUAUAAAAGUCUCUGGAAUUACUUGAUCAGGGCUGGGUGCUUCGGGACAAGAGUCCCAUCCAGUCUACUCUCAAAGCUCUCCGAUCAUAAACUAUGAAAAACUCUUCUCUCGGUCUCGCCUCAGUUUCUCCAGCAUUACAUGACUAAAAUUAAAAGCACUGGAAUUAAGAGAGGUUGUGGAAGGAAUUUUAAUCUUAAUCAGGAUUUUUAAAAAGCCAGGGAGGUGGAGAGCGAUGACAUUUCCGGUCUGGGUGAGAAUGCCCAGAGCUGAGAAGUGGCAGAUCUUGGUGCACCAGCUGGAGGCCAGGGUCAUGGCGUUGAAGAGUUUGUUUGGAGGAGUAAGGUGUGAAGAAGGCAGGAAGGGGAUAGGUUAUGAAGGGCUUUGAAAACCAAACCAAACAUUUUGUGUUUGCUAAUGUUGAGGUUCAAAAGGGAGACCCCCCCAAAAAAGGAUGGGGUUGAAGACUGGUGUGGCAAGAUAUAGUGAAAGAAUUUGCAAGCUUGAGCCCAUUUCCGAGUCAAGGGAUAGAGUUGAUUGUAAUUUUAACAGCCGGUUGAAGGGAUUUAGCAAAGAAUCAGGAGCAAGAAGAUAAAUGUGUAGGAAAAGAGGGAUCCAGUUCUUCAUGUCAGUGAUAGGCUAAUUUUAUGGCUUAGAGGUAGAGCUGGGGAGUGGUCUGACAUACACCUUAAUAUUAUAUUUUAUGGUUUAGAGGGGAAGGAGUAGUAUGAUAUGUGUACUUCAAUAUUUCUAGGAGCAUACUAUGGUAUUUCUAAAGCCAGGAUAUUAUAGAAUAUUAUAAGAAAACCCCUAAAUAUCCUGUACACAUUAUAAACUAGAUAGACAUCCAUCUUUCAAACCAAAACCUUGAUUCAUCUGUUUGAUGUUAAAAAGAAAAAAAAGUUGCAAAAAUUUUAAUACUGACAUAGUAUACAAACUUAAAUUUUAGCAAAAUUUUACUUAUUGUUGUAAACUUUUGAGAUUGUUGACAAACAGAUUGUUAGAAAAAUAGCACUCCUAAGGUCUGGGGGCCUCAGGAUUACUGCUGUAUUUCUUCUAGAAGCUGCAC